UACGGAGGGUGCAAGCGUUAUCCGGAUUUACUGGGUUUAAAGGGUGUGUAGGCGGGCUUUUAAGUCAGUGGUGAAAUCUCCGGGCUCAACUCGGAAACUGCCAUUGAUACUAUUAGUCUUGAAUUUUGUUGAGGUAGGCGGAAUAAGUCAUGUAGCGGUGAAAUGCAUAGAUAUGACUUAGAACACCAAUUGCGAAGGCAGCUUGCUAAACAACAUUGACGCUGAGGCACGAAAGCGUGGGGAUCAAACAGG
rnacentral:rRNA from 1 species